rnacentral:lncRNA from 1 species
UGUUAGAUUAGGAGUGGUUAUGAGCUGGUUAAUGAGAAAUCAGUCUGUGGUGCAAUUUUUCUUGAAUUCUGUCUUCUUCCCUUCUUUCUAUUAGUUAAUCCCCUUAAAAGGGUUAGCACAGAAUUGUCCAGUAGAGAUUUGUUUGUCUGGUGUUGAAGCGUGAAAACAGUCAUUCCAAAAUACUUUAAACAAUAUUAGAAACUUAGUUUGAUGUUCUAAU